UUAGGUCCUAUGACAUUCACUUUGCUGAAAAAUAUUCUCACUCCUUAUUUGAAGUGAUUCUUGAUUCCCUUACAGUAGUCAAAGGAGAGGAAAGGGAUGGGAGGGGAGGCAAAGGGGCAGAAUAACUAAAAAAGAUUACAAACUUCCCAAAGUUUUAACUUUUUACCUUCUUAAUCAAUAAGCCAAUAUAACACCGUUUCAACAAUUCCGCUCUCCCUUAGAGAUAGAAUGGAAAAUUUGGUGAAAGAUAUUAAAAAAGUAAUGAUUUCUAACUCUUGAAUUUUUCCCUCCCAAAAAAAAAAAAAGAAUAUUGGGGCGUGGGGAGAAAUAAACAUUCAGAAUAGUUGUUGCUUAUGGACUUCAGCAACAUUUAAUCUGGUCACUUAAUUUAACACAAGAUCAUUAUAUCACAUACUAUGAAUCACAAAGAUGCAUCUUGUGCAAUUCCAUGGAUCUAUAAGCAUUAAGAUAACAAAAGUCACAAACCAUGCGACAGAUAGCACUUUUUGGGUGUACUAGGAAUUGCAAUAGGCAUAUUUGCAUGAUGAAACUUGGCAGGAUAGUACCAGCAUAAAUACCCUGUCCUGUUCCCAACACUCCCUCUUCCAUUUUCUCCCCCAAAAAAAAACGAACAAAGGAAAGAAAAAAGAGGAACUCAAGGAAAUCUGCAUAAUUGCUGGGAACGCAUUUCGAUAUGCCUCUUAUGCUUUCUCAAUGCAAGAAUCUUGCUACAAGAAUGACACUAUUCACAAGAGGCCACAGAAAAAAUAUGCUCAUCCUCAUAUUACUUUGAUGCAGAUCAAUAAUACAAAAUUUCACAUCUCAAUAAAAAAAUUAAUUCCCUAAAAGAACGGUAAAAUUUAGAAAUCAUUGAUAACGGAAGGAAUCUACAGAGGGUGAAAGUAAUAACUAUUUUUUCUUGUUCAAAUCUUAACUUGAGGCCAACAAGCAACAAUGUCACUUUUAUAGAGCUUUUCUCCUAGAGAAAAAAAGAAGAUAAAAUUGAUAAUUUAAGUAAAAAUGGAAAUAGGCAAAGAUCCCAAUCCACUCCAAUACUAUGGAAGAUAUUUCUGAAAGCUUAAUUUUUUUAGUACUGACUAUAUGCAUGAAAACAAAAGCUUCUCUUCCUGAAAAGAACAUCAGAAGAAAAAUUUGUUGUUCAAGAUAUGCAUCAAACAGUAAAAUAGAUAGAUAAAAGAUGUCCAAAAAUAGAUGCAACUUCAGUACAUUUAUAUGUUUGCCAUGUAAAUGGUGUAUAUCCAACAUCCAUUCACUUACAGAACCCAAAAGAUUUGACAAUGUAAAAGAAAGAGAAAUUAUUAAGCUAUGUUGCCUAUAGAGUAGCCGACCAGUAAUGACAGUUUUGGAUGCACAAAUGCAGGAAGAGCUCAUAUACAAUGAUGAUGACGAGCAUAAACAAGAGAGACCAAUCAACAUAUUUGAAAAGGAAUAAGCAGAAUAUAAAUAGGGCUAUUAAACAAGAUGAGUGGUUAAGGUGGCUUAAAAUAUUAGUAGCAGAUGACAAAAAUUCAUGCAUUUCCAUUCAAACAUCCCAUAUGUUCAACUAAAACUAAGACCAAGCAUAUCUACCAAAGAAACCCUAUCUAUAAUAAUUUCACUGAGACCAGGAAAACGGUGUGACCAAGUAAUAGAUUGACCAGUCACAUCCAAUCACGAGAUACAUGAAUAUUUCAAAUUCUAGUCUACUUGCAAAAGUUUUACGAGUUAAACCCCUCCACCAGAUAAGUUAUCCAUCUCAAAGAGCUAAGGACAAUAAUACGCAGCAGAACUAUACAAUUUUGAAAAGAUCAAACAUGAUUAAAAUAUAUUGUCAGGCUCACAAUACCAUAGCAAUCAUUAUUAAUGCAUUUACCACUAAAGUCACAUAAUGGAAUUUAUGAAUUAGGGAAUAUAAUGUGAAUGCCACUUCUAAGUUCUAAUCAUCCAAGUUAUCAAUAUUUAAAAACAAAAAUAAAAUAAAAUAAAGUAGAGAAAAGAUGGCCCAUAGUCCAAAUCAAUCCAUGCAAACAAAUAGACUAUAAUCACAAAUGCUAGAUAUUCUCUGCUUUAUAUAACCAAAAACAAAUGAGAUGCAUCUCUCUAAUCAAUUCAAAUGUUCAAUUUCACUAACUCUUAGGACGAAAUGGAAAUGGUGAUAAAAAUUGCCUUGCAAAGUUAACAAUUCCCAGGAAGCCAAUUAAACAGAGCAGAGAGUCAAAAUUCUGACCUUUUGGCCACUCAGUAACUAUUCUCUCCUUGAGCAUAGCCACAGUGGAGGCCGGUGAGUACCUGAAUGGACCAAUAUCCGAUCCAUCAUACAAUCUAAACUUAAGCUCUACCAGGUCCUCCUCCGGCAUUUCGGCUUGUAUCGCUACCUGUUCAAAUUGAACUAAAAAUCCUCAACCACCAAAGUUCUCUUCAGAACCUAACCUUCCAAUAAUUUCUAUCCAAUCUCCACGCUCCUCCAGGAGUAGUUGCAGUUCUCUAGGGUUUAUGACAGCCACACAGAGAGUAAGAGAUAAAUCAGAGAAGAAACCCUAAGGCCAGACCCGAUCUCGACGCUAUAUAAUUUUUUGCAGGAAGUAUCUAAUGGGUCAUUACCCUUCGCCUUUUCAAUUUUUCUAUUCUUCAGAGAGAGAGAGAGUUCACUUUUCUAUUUUAUUUAUUUUCUUGAGAAAGUGAGAGAACUUAAAACUAUAAUUCUACCAGUAAAUAAACAGUUCCAGCACAAAGAUGCACUGGAGUUU
rnacentral:misc_RNA from 1 species